rnacentral:rRNA from 1 species
GAUGAACGCUAGCUACAGGCUUAACACAUGCAAGUCGAGGGGAAACGAUAUUGGAAGCUUGCUUCCGAUAGGCGUCGACCGGCGGACGGGUGAGUAACGCGUGAGCAAUCUGCCUUUAAGAGGGGGAUAACAGUCGGAAACGGCUGCUAAUACCGCAUAAAACAUUGAAUUCGCAUGUUUUCGAUGCCAAAGGAGCAAUCCGCUUUUAGAUGAGCUCGCGUCUGAUUAGCUAGUUGGCGGGGUAACGGCCCACCAAGGCGACGAUCAGUAGCCGGACUGAGAGGUUGGACGGCCACAUUGGGACUGAGACACGGCCCAGACUCCUACGGGAGGCAGCAGUGGGGAAUAUUGCACAAUGGGGGAAACCCUGAUGCAGCGACGCCGCGUGAAGGAAGAAGUAUUUCGGUAUGUAAACUUCUAUCAGCAAGGAAGAAAAUGACGGUACUUGACUAAGAAGCCCCGGCUAAAUACGUG